AUUGAACGCUGGCGGCAUGCCUUACACAUGCAAGUCGAACGGUAACAGGUCUUCGGAUGCUGACGAGUGGCGAACGGGUGAGUAAUACAUCGGAACGUGCCCGAUCGUGGGGGAUAACGGAGCGAAAGCUUUGCUAAUACCGCAUACGAUCUACGGAUGAAAGCAGGGGACCGCAAGGCCUUGCGCGGACGGAGCGGCCGAUGGCAGAUUAGGUAGUUGGUGGGAUAAAAGCUUACCAAGCCGACGAUCUGUAGCUGGUCUGAGAGGACGACCAGCCACACUGGGACUGAGACACGGCCCAGACUCCUACGGGAGGCAGCAGUGGGGAAUUUUGGACAAUGGGCGAAAGCCUGAUCCAGCCAUGCCGCGUGCAGGAUGAAGGCCUUCGGGUUGUAAACUGCUUUUGUACGGAACGAAAAGCCUCUUUCUAAUAAAGAGAGGUCAUGACGGUACCGUAAGAAUAAGCACCGGCUAACUACGUGCCAGCAGCCGCAGUAACAC
rnacentral:rRNA from 1 species